AAAGGGAAAAGGGUGUGUGAUGUUGGGAGCUGGCCUUCUUGAUGUCACAGGCAGUAAGGGCAUGCCUCCUGUAACCACCUCUGUGUUUUUCAGGCGUGCAUGGCUGUGCCUCAGCGAAUUGCUGAACAGACCAACUUAGCCAAACAAUCAAGUCUGUUCAGAGGAGGACAUUAAUGGGAAGUGAGUGGGCAUGUAAUCGUAUAGUCAGAACAAUAAGUUGGAAGAGCUUUGCUUUUGCUUUUCUCCAAUUGUUGUUUUCACAGUCCGCCUGGCACAGAAGCUGGCUCAGGGUCAACUGCCAGCUUGGAAUGGUGGCUGAUCCGAGCACGAGACUCUGAGGCGUCAGACCAGGGUUCAGGAGUAGAGAGGGCCCUGCCCUCAGAGAGUUCCCAGCCCAGUGGAGAAGUCUGGCAGGGUCAGUGACUUCCUGGGGUCUCUUCUCAGGGCAGGAAGAGAUCAUGCCCUGCCCCUGGAUAAGGGGUGGAUGAGGAGGAAAGUUUUCUGUAAGGAAACUGACUUGAGGGCUUGAUAGAGGCUGGAGGGGCAAAGGAGAGGAGAGAUUGGGGUAUUCCAGGUGAAAAAAAUCAGAGUGGGCAAAGGCAUGUGUGUGUGUGUGUGUGUGUGUGUGUUAUGUAGGGAAGACCAGGGAGAGG
rnacentral:lncRNA from 1 species